rnacentral:lncRNA from 1 species
CUCUUUCUCUCUUCGAGAAUAGAUGAAAAAAGGAUUUCUUAAAGUAUGCAUAGUGUAUCCAAUCUUUAAAAUCAUUACAAUGUGACCUAGCCAUCUAUCUUUAUUAGAGAAUGUUAUCACAUGAAGGUUACAUAAUAGCUUGAUUUUUAUAAAACUUAACUAUCCUCCUACUUACUUAACAAGGGUCUUUUAUUUUGGUAGAAAUUGAAAGGAAGAUG